UUCUUCUCCUGAGGCCCUGGUAAAGAGCAGAAGUAAUGCUGUUUCUGUGCAGGCGGAUCUGCGCUCCAGUCUGGGAGACGCCGGUUACAUCGUGUUCGGUGUGAUUCUGUUCGUCUGGGAGCUGCUGCCCACGUCUCUCGUCGUCUUCUUUUUCCGGGUGCGGAAGCCGGCCCAGGACCGGAGCGGUUCUGUGAUUCCCAGCCAUGUCUUCUCCAACCGGCCGUACUUCUUCGACAAUCCCAGACGCUACGAUAGCGACGAUGAUUUAGCCUGGACUUCCCAUCCGGUGACCGCCUCGACCAGUUUGUCGACGGAUGGCUUCGACUGGAGCAGCAGCAGCUUCCUGGUCCAUCUGGGAGGAGACGAGCCGCGGUCGUCAUCGGCAACCGUGGGACUCAACCGCUAAUGAUGCUACAGCGAUACAGCUCUGCACUUUAAACACACACACACACACACACACUAAUGGACACGAUGCUCUGUAAGUGUGAGUCGCCAUGGCAACUGAGUCCAGAGCAGUGCUCAUCGUCAUGGCGACCGUGGUCAGAGUGAUGAAGCCUCUAAACGAGGCUGUGUUCAGAAUGACACACGAUAAAUUUCACAAUAUUUCUAUUUCACGUUUGAAUUUGCAUUCCAUUGCACACGGCACAACAGAGCAAACACACUCUUGCAAAUCCUGGAGUUUGAUACAAACUAAAAAGUCCAGCAGAGUUUGUUAGAUCACAUUCUGAACACAGUUGAGCGUCUGUUUAGAUUCACAACAUGAUCACAUCUCCAUUGUGACUCCAGUAGUUCCAAUCAGAAUAAUGAAAUAAUGUGUAAGGCAUGCAUUUCUGUUAUUUCAUGUGUUUCUCUUUAGCUGUUGUAAGUUGUCCACUAAGGGUGAAAUGACACAAUAUCUUUAUAUUUAUGAUGAAUAACACUGUAAAUACACUGAUCAUGUGAUUCUCAUUUGUUGAUUUGUGAUGAGGAUGAUGUUCAUCACCUUCCACAAAAAUAAAUCAUCUGCUGUUCAAAUAA